rnacentral:lncRNA from 1 species
GUUGGGUUUUAUGGCUCCAAACUAUGGGUGUGUCACCAUGCAGGAAGUAGUGGGAAAACCGAGGGAGGGGCAGAGGAAAAAAGGAGGGUGGAGAACUGUGUUUAGUGAGUGCCUACUGGAUGCUGGGAGUUGCAUACAGGCGUUACCAUAUUUAAAUUAAACCUUGAGAUGAAGGGACUGAAGGACAGAGAGAAAUUGCAUGCCUGGAGUCUCACUGCUAGUACAUAGAGGUGUUAUCUUCCUUUCAUCUAACAUAUUUAUUGAGCACCUACUAUGUACCAGGCCUUGUGCUAGACUCUGGGGAUAUGGAAAUGAGCAAAGUAGAUGUACCCCCGAAACUUGUGGACUAAUGGAGGAGACGGACCUUAAUCAGAUCGUCAUUCAAAGAUACUAUUACAAACUGUUCUGAGAGCCGAGGAAGCAGGAAGGAGCUGUGAGAGACUGAGCUCUAACCUUGGCCAUCAAAGACAAGCUGUGCAGCUCUGGUUUUUUGAGGGCAGGACAUGGAGGGUCAGGCCCAGCUGGAGGCGCACCAAAGCCCAGAGAAAAUUCAGAACCACGUGAACUUGUUGGAUUUCAGCCCCUUGAAGCACAUGUUGCUAUUGCAGCUGCCUUGAUAACUGGGGGGACAGGAGGAGCACGGCUUUCCCAUCUUGUACGGGGACUCGCCAAUCCAGUUGCCCCUGGAAGAGAAAAGGACCCAGGGAGACAGAGGAGCAUUAGGCUACUAAUGACUUCAAGAACAUCAGAAUAAUACAAUAGAAAGAAUUUGGAA